CUGACUCACUAGUCAGCUGAUGAUAGGGAGCCUGUCUGCUUCAAUGGGCGGAGGAUCGCUUGGUGGGAGAAAGAUCAAUCUGCAACUAAUGCAACAGCUGUAGGCACCCUGAUUGAAAACCACAGAAGCUACCACCACCACCAAUGGAAGAUUCAUCAGAAUCGGAAAGUUCGCAUGAUUCUUCAAGCUCCAAAACACAGUAGUCCACAACAACAACAACAACAAAAAAACAAGCAAAGGGCAUCUUACACAUGAAACCAAGUCCAAAAAGGAGCAUGUACCGGAACAGCAUCCGAUUUCAUUGUCUGAAGACGAUUCAGCAGAGGAUUCUGCAACAAAGACCAGAUCCAGAAGCAGAAUCUGAUUAUAUUCCAUCACAACCGCACAAGGAAUCCAAGGAGGAGAGAGUUAGAGUCCCG